UGCGGCUGCUAUACAUGCAGUCGAGCGGACAGAUGGGAGCUUGCUCCCUGAUGUUAGCGGCGGACGGGUGAGUAACACGUGGGUAACCUGCCUGUAAGACUGGGAUAACUCCGGGAAACCGGGGCUAAUACCGGAUGGUUGUUUGAACCGCAUGGUUCAAACAUAAAAGGUGGCUUCGGCUACCACUUACAGAUGGACCCGCGGCGCAUUAGCUAGUUGGUGAGGUAACGGCUCACCAAGGCAACGAUGCGUAGCCGACCUGAGAGGGUGAUCGGCCACACUGGGACUGAGACACGGCCCAGACUCCUACGGGAGGCAGCAGUAGGGAAUCUUCCGCAAUGGACGAAAGUCUGACGGAGCAACGCCGCGUGAGUGAUGAAGGUUUUCGGAUCGUAAAGCUCUGUUGUUAGGGAAGAACAAGUACCGUUCGAAUAGGGCGGUACCUUGACGGUACCUAACCAGAAAGCCACGGCUAACUACGUGCCAGCAGCCGCGGUAAUA
rnacentral:rRNA from 1 species